AAUUCACUCACAAGUCUUUGGUGGGCCCAAGGCUAUUGCAGAAGACACUUGGCCAAAUGAUAUUGAACUCGGAACCGCGUGAGUGCUAUUAAAAUAUGAGAAACGACAACAUAAUGGCCAUCAUUGAGUAUAGAUUAUUCGACAACCAGUCCUGUUGUUCUUCAGAAGUAUAUCAUCAGGAAUCAAGCAGGUGCGUGAUGAAAGGCAUCAGUGUCUUAUUGUUUUGUGCAUUCAUUUCAUACAGCUUCUCCGAUGAACAAAAUGUCACUUCCGUCCAUCGACAGACAACAGCUAAUUGAUUUCAGCUACUAAUCUCGGCAUGGAAGAACUCGAAAAAGAAUCGAUGAACAGGUACUCCAGGUAUUCGUCUCAUACCAGAAGAAAUUAAUGCAUGGGUAAAUGAUACAUUUCAGGGCUCAGGACAGGCCACAGUGGAGUGCUGCUUUCACAUCUGGGACGAUGCUGUUCCUAUAUACACAACUGUCUUAGAACCGCAUCCAGAGAAAGAGUAUUUGACUUAUCGGAAUAAAAUUAUUCACAGAUGUGCUCCAGCUUCAUCCCCACAAGCAUGUUCUUUCCUUCCUCCGUCUUUUCUGGCGCUACUAAACGUAAAAUGGCGUCUGACUCUGAAUUCGCUUCCACCCAGGCGUUCUCAUCUUAUUCAUCUUUCUUCUUUUCAUCAUUCUAUUUGUGUCCAAACCUCAGGCCCAGCAGUAAUUCCUACACCCAGUCCUUCCUUCCCAGGAUAUCAACUUCAUGGAACUUUCUCCCUGUUCAUACCUUUUCCUGACAGGAUCAAGAGAGAUGGUGCUACAUGUUCCCUACGGCCUUGUGCACAUGCUCCGAUAGAGAACUGCUGCAAAGGUCACAAUUGUAUAUGUUAUGUGGUGCCCGGGGGCACUCGUUGCGUGUGUGUUGCCCCUGAGGUUGAUAACGCUAUACUGCAAACUGUAAGCGCUUUUCUCGUUUUCCUUGUAAAUUUUAAUCUUAUUGACGUUCUGUUCCUGUGAAUCUUGUGGAUAAAUUGCUUACGCCAGAUUGUUUUUCAUGCAAGUAGAAAAUCAAUGAGACCACGAAGACAAUGAAUUUGAUGUUUUAGGUAAAGAGCAUUUAGAACUAUAAUGCACAAAUUAUCCAAAGGAGCCAGACAAACAGCAAGCACAAAAAUACACUCAACUACAAGAACAUCAACUAGUGCUGCUGCUGUUGCUGCAUGCUACUACAACUACAACAACAAAAUGAAAAACUACUACUACUACUACUUUUUCAAUUUUGAUACUAACUCAGUUAUUAAAUCCUAUAACAAAAGAGAAUUAUGAACGAACAUCAAGAAUAAAAUGGUAAAAGAUGAAUUUGUCUAACUACCAUGAAUUAAUACAACGAUUUUAUACAUAAUAUAUUAAUCCGUCAAAUCUUAAUGAAAUCCCAAUUAAAUAAAUUCAUUAAGCAAUGA